rnacentral:rRNA from 1 species
AGUAACGCGUGGGUAACCUGCCUCAUACAGGGGGAGUAACAGUUAGAAAUGGCUACUAAUACCGCAUAAGCGCACAGCUUCGCAUGGAGCAGUGCGAAAAACUACCGGUGGUAUGAGAUGGACCCGCGUCUGAUUAGCUAGUUGGUAAGGUAACGGCUUACCAAGGCGACGAUCAGUAGCCGACCUGAGAGGGUGACCGGCCACAUUGGGACUGAGACACGGCCCAAACUCCUACGGGAGGCAGCAUG